AUUGAACGCUAGCGGCAGGCCUAACACAUGCAAGUCGAGCGAGCGGCGGACGGGUGAGUACUGUCUGGGGGCUGCCCGCUAUAGGGGGAUAACUACUGGAAACGGUAGCACUACCGCAUACUCACGGAUAACCCAUAUGGGAUUAGCUAGUAGGUGAGGUAAUGGCUCACCUAGGCGACGAUCCCGAGCUGGUAUGAGAGGAUGAUCAGCCACACUGGGACUGAGACACGGCCCAGACUCCGACGGAGGCAGCAGUGGGGAAUAUUGCACAAUGGGCGCAAGCCUGAUGCAGCCAUGCCGCGUGUAUGAAGAAGGCCCUAGGGUUGUAAAGUACUUUCAGUCGGGAGGCGUUACCGACAGAAGAAGCACCGGCUAACUCCGUGCCAGCAGCCGCGGUAAUAC
rnacentral:rRNA from 1 species